rnacentral:rRNA from 1 species
UACGGAGGGUGCAAGCGUUGUCCGGAAUCACUGGGCGUAAAGGGCGCGUAGGCGGCUCAUGAAGUCUGUGGUGAAAGUCCGGGGCUCAACCUCGGAUCGGCCGUGGCGACUCGUGGGCUGGAGCACUGUAGAGGCGGGUGGAAUUCCGGGUGUAGCGGUGGAAUGCGUAGAGAUCCGGAAGAACACCAGUGGCGAAGGCGGCCCGCUGGGCAGUGGCUGACGCUGAGGCGCGACAGCGUGGGGAGCAAACAGG